rnacentral:rRNA from 1 species
UACGUAGGGGGCAAGCGUUGUCCGGAUUUAUUGGGCGUAAAGAGCGUGUAGGCGGCUAGGUAGGUCCGUUGUGAAAACUCGAGGCUCAACCUCGAGACGUCGAUGGAAACCAUCUAGCUAGAGUCCGGAAGAGGAGAGUGGAAUUCCUGGUGUAGCGGUGAAAUGCGCAGAUAUCAGGAAGAACACCCGUGGCGACGGCGGCUCUCUGGUACGUGACUGACGCUGAGACGCGAAAGCGUGGGGAGCGAACAGG